rnacentral:rRNA from 1 species
UACGUAGGUCCCGAGCGUUGUCCGGAUUUAUUGGGCGUAAAGCGAGCGCAGGUGGUUUAUUAAGUCUGGUGUAAGAGGCAGUGGCUCAACCAUUGUAUGCAUUGGAAACUGGUGGACUUGAGUGCAGGAGAGGAGAGUGGAAUUCCAUGUGUAGCGGUGAAAUGCGUAGAUAUAUGGAGGAACACCGGUGGCGAAAGCGGCUCUCUGGCCUGUAACUGACACUGAGGCUCGAAAGCGUGGGGAGCAAACAGG